UGGGGAAUAUUGCACAAUGGGCGAAAGCCUGAUGCAGCAACGCCGCGUGCGGGAUGACGGCCUUCGGGUUGUAAACCGCUUUCAGCAGGGACGAAGGUUUUCUGACGGUACCUGCAGAAGAAGCACCGGCUAACUACGUGCCAGCAGCCGCGGUGAUACGUAGGGUGCGAGCGUUGUCCGGAAUUAUUGGGCGUAAAGAGCUUGUAGGCGGUCCGUUGCGUCGGAAGUGAAACUCAGGGCUUAACCCUGAGCCUGCUUUCGAUACGGGCGGACUUGAGGGAUGUAGGGGAGAACGGAAUUCCUGGUGGAGCGGUGGAAUGCGCAGAUAUCAGGAGGAACACCAGUGGCGAAGGCGGUUCUCUGGACAUUUCCUGACGCUGAGAAGCGAAAGCGUGGGGAGCAAACAGGCUUANAUACCCUGGUAGUCCACGCCGUAAACGGUGGGCANUAGGUGUGGGACCCAUUCCACGGGUUCCGUGCCGUAGCUAACGCAUUAAGUG
rnacentral:rRNA from 1 species